GGAGACUUAGCUCAGCUGGGAGAGCGCACCCUUCACAGGGGUGAUGUCGCAGGUUCGAGCCCUGUAGUCUCCA
rnacentral:tRNA from 1 species